ACAAACGACUNUCGGCAACGGAUAUCUCGGCUCACGCAUCGAUGAAGAACGUAGCAAAAUGCGAUACUUGGUGUGAAUUGCAGAAUCCCGUGAACCAUCGAGUUUUUGAACGCAAGUUGCGCCCGAGGCCAUUCGGCCGAGGGCACGUCUGCCUGGGCGUCACG
rnacentral:rRNA from 1 species